CGGGACGGGUGAGUAACGCGUGGGUAACCUACCCUGUACACACGGAUAACAUACCGAAAGGUAAGUCUAAUACAGGAUAAUAUAUUUGAGAGGCAUCUCUUGAAUAUCAAAGGUGAGCCAGUACAGGAUGGACCCGCGUCUGAUUAGCUAGUUGGUAAGGUAACGGCUUACCAAGGCGACGAUCAGUAGCCGACCUGAGAGGGUGAUCGGCCACAUUGGAACUGAGACACGGUCCAA
rnacentral:rRNA from 1 species